rnacentral:rRNA from 1 species
AUUGAACGCUGGCGGCAUGCUUUACACAUGCAAGUCGAACGGCAGCGCGGGAUUCGCUCUGGCGGCGAGUGGCGAACGGGCGAGUAAUGCAUCGGAACGUGCCCAGCUGCGGGGGAUUGCGCGGUGACAGCGGGAAUAAUACGCCAUUAGCCCUGAGGGCGUACGGGGGGGAGCAGAAGACCUUGCGCCCUUGCACGAGUCGAUGACGGAUUAGCUGGUUGGCGGGGUAAAGGCCUACCAAGGCGACGAUCCGUAGCUGGUCUGAGAGGAUGACCAGCCACACUGGAACUGAGACACGGCCCAGACUCCUACGGGAGGCAGCAGUGGGGAAUAUUGGACAAUGGGGGCAAGCCUGAUCCAGCCAUGCCGCGUGCGGGAAGAAGGCCUUCGGGUUGUAAACCGCUUUUGUUGGGAAAGAAAAGCAGUAGGCUAAUACCCCGGGGUGAUGACGGUACCGAAAGAAUAAGCACCGGCUAACUUCGUG